ACGAACGCUGGCGGCAUGCCUAACACAUGCAAGUCGAACGAGACCUUCGGGUCUAGUGGCGCCCGGGUGCGUAACGCGUGGGAACCUGCCCUUAGGUUCGGAAUAACUCCCCGAAAGGGGUGCUAAUACCGGAUAAUGUCUUCGGACCAAAGAUUUAUCGCCUUUGGAUGGGCCCGCGUUGGAUUAGCUAGUUGGUAGGGUAAAAGCCUACCAAGGCGACGAUCCAUAGCUGGUCUGAGAGGAUGAUCAGCCACACUGGGACUGAGACACGGCCCAGACUCGUACGGGAGGCAGCAGUGGGGAAUAUUGGACAAGGGGCGAAAGCCUGAUCCAGCAAUGCCGCGUGAGUGAUGAAGGCCUUAGGGUUGUAAAGCUCUUUUACCCGGGAUGAUAAUGACAGUACCGGGAGAAUAAGCUCCGGCUAACUCCGUG
rnacentral:rRNA from 1 species